rnacentral:rRNA from 1 species
CGCCUUGCCAGCCCGCUCAGAACUUAAAGGAAUUGACGGGGGCCCGCACAAGCGGUGGAGCAUGUGGUUAAUUCGAUGAUACGCGAGGAACCUUACCUGGGCUCGAACGUAAGAUGACUGUAGGUGAAAGCUUACAUCUCUUCGGAGCAUUUUACGAGGUGCUGCAUGGUUGUCGUCAGCUCGUGCCGUGAGGUGUCGGGUUAAGUCCCAUAACGAGCGCAACCCCUACCUUUAGUUGCCAUCAGGUUAAGCUGGGGACUCUAAAGGAACUGCCUACGCAAGUAGUGAGGAAGGCGGGGAUGACGUCAAAUCAGCACGGCCCUUACGUCCAGGGCUACACACGUGCUACAAUGGCCGAUACAGAGGGCAGCUACCUGGUGACAGGAUGCAAAUCUCCAAAGUCGGUCUCAGUUCGGAUCGGAGUCUGCAACCCGACUCCGUGAAGUUGGAUUCGCUAGUAAUCGCGCAUCAGCCAUGGCGCGGUGAAUACGUUCCCGGGCCUU